rnacentral:rRNA from 1 species
UACAGAGGUCUCAAGCGUUGUUCGGAAUCACUGGGCUUAAAGGGCGCGUAGGCGGGUGUGCAAGUCUGCGGUGAAAGCCUCCAGCUUAACUGGAGAAGUGCCGUGGAUACUGCAUAUCUUGAGGAGGGUAGGGGCAUCUGGAACAUUGGGUGGAGCGGUGAAAUGCGUUGAUAUCCAAUGGAACUCCGGUGGCGAAGGCGAGGUGCUGGACCCUUUCUGACGCUGAGGCGCGAAAGCCAGGGGAGCAAACGGG